GAUGAACGCUGGCGGCGUGCUUAACACAUGCAAGUCGAACGGAAAGGCCCAAGCUUGCUUGGGUACUCGAGUGGCGAACGGGUGAGUAACACGUGGGUGAUCUGCCCUGCACUUCGGGAUAAGCCUGGGAAACUGGGUCUAAUACCGGAUAGGACCACCUCUUGGAUGUUGUGGUGGAAAGUUUUUUCGGUGUGGGAUGAGCUCGCGGCCUAUCAGCUUGUUGGUGGGGUAAUGGCCUACCAAGGCGUCGACGGGUAGCCGGCCUGAGAGGGUGUACGGCCACAUUGGGACUGAGAUACGGCCCAGACGCCUACGGGAGGCAGCAGUGGGGAAUAUUGCACAAUGGGCGCAAGCCUGAUGCAGCGACGCCGCGUGGGGGAUGACGGCCUUCGGGUUGGAAACUCCUUUCGCUAGGGACGAAGCGUUUUGUGACGGUACCUGGAGAAGAAGCAGCGGCUAACUACGUG
rnacentral:rRNA from 1 species